AUGAGUCUGGGACCCCCCCAGCCUCUUAAUGAGUUUGUAUCACUGUGGUGGACUUUUGGUGGAGGCACCAAACUCAUCGUUGACUUGGGAGUGGUGCAGCCCACGCUGAGCGUCCUCCCUCCCUCCAGAGUGGAGCUGGAGCAGGGCAGUGCUACACUAGUGUGUGUGGCCAGUGGGGGCUUCCCCUCAGACUGGAAGCUUGGCUGGAAGGUGGGGGGCAGCAGCAGGUCUGGGGGGGUGUCUGAUAGCCUGGGGGUCCUGGGGAAAGAUGGCCACUACAGCUGGAGCAGCACCUUGACCCUCCCUGCAGACCAGUGGAGGAAGGCGGGCUCAGUGAGCUGCGAGGCCAGUAAGAAUGGCCAGACGCAGCCUGUCACUCAAACCCUGAAUCCUGGAGAGUGUUCAGAGUAGAGAGGCUCCAGCAUGGAGGUACUGGAGGAUACAGAUCUCCUCUGACACGUCUGCUUUAUGUCUCUCUGUCUCAGGUGGCACCGCAGCUUCUGUUGAUUUACAUUGAUAUAACACGUAUUUGAUUCAUUAACAUGAUGCUCUUUAGAUUUUACCCCUUGCUUGUGUUGGUCACAUGUUGAACAUUUAAUAAAGAUUUAAAGAAGAAAUUCUUCAUUGUCAUCAUUAAAUAUCAUUUAUCUUCUGUAUUUGAAAUUGAAUGCUGCUUCUAAUGAGCAUAUAAAACCUCUGCUAUCUUCAUUAAACAAAUUUCACAACCAU